UGACGCAGCGACGCCGCGUGGAGGAUGAAGGCCUUCGGGUUGUAAACUCCUGUCAGAGGAGAAGAAGUCUCGAUUUAUCGAGAUUGACGGUAUCCUCAGAGGAAGCCCCGGCUAACUACGUGCCAGCAGCCGCGGUAAUACGUAGGGGGCAAACGUUGCUCGGAAUUACUGGGCGUAAAGGGUGUGUAGGUGGCUGAGCAAGUCAAAGAUGAAAUCCCGAGGCUUAACCUCGGAACUGUCUUUGAAACUGUUUAGCUUGAGGAUAGUUGAGGAGAACGGAAUUCCCGGUGGAGCGGUGAAAUGCGUAGAUAUCGGGAGGAACACCAGAGGCGAAGGCGGUUCUCUAAGCUAUUCCUGACACUGAAACACGAAAGCUAGGGGAGCAAACGGGAUUAGAUACCCCGGUAGUCCUAGCUGUAAACGAUGGGCACUAGAUGUUUCUACUUUUUGGUGGGAGUGUCGAAGCUAACGCGUUAAGUGCCCCGCCUGGGGAGUACGGA
rnacentral:rRNA from 1 species